ACACCCUUCCCCCUCAUUUCCUCCGUCCGCCCGCAGCUCUUCCUCGCUCGACCCUGCCGCCUUCUCAAUGUCGCACCAGAGGCUGCUCCCACCGUCGCCACUCCGCCAUCGCCGGUGAUCUUUCCCCCUUUCUCUCUUGCUCUCUGAUGCCCUCGUCUUCUCUCAAAUCAGUGCCCUAAUCACCGUCGCUUGCAGCAGGGAAGACAGGGCAGCAUCCGCCAACGCCACGGUCGCCGCUCCUCCGAUCCGCCGUCGCUGUUGCUUUUGCCCUCGUUUUGUCAACUUCUGGGUUCUUUGAAACAAGAAAGGGAUGCUGUGGAACAGGAGUUGUGGAGACUGGAAUCUUGUGCAAUCCAAGGUCUAUUGGAACAUGCUCCAAUGCCAGUGGGUAUGUAUUCUGAGAUUCAGUUCACCCAACACAAGCAGCAAACCAGAAGCUAGCUGAUGUCCUCUUGCUCCAAGGCAUUUCCCUCAUUGGAUGAGAAAUCUGCGCAGUCCUGUUUCUCUUCAAACAAAAUGAGAAAGAAGAGACCUCCCUGUUGCACCAAUAGAUUCUGCUAUAAGAACCCUCCUUGCUACUGUUGCUGUUUCUUUUUAUGAGUGUUACUAUAUGUGUGUUUGAGUGCUGAAGAAAUAAAACUUUUGGCAUAUUGGUGUAGAGUUUAUAGGGUGUUUCAGUUACCAAAUGAAAAAUGUAAUAUUAUUUUGUUUUAGAUAUUCUGGUUUUAUAUAAAUGUUGUUGAUU